rnacentral:lncRNA from 1 species
UCCACUACUCCCUGGCAAGUCGCGACAAUGAACGUCGCUCCACUCCCCACAACUGAUUCCACAUGGCGAGCCAUGGUGACAGCCACAACUCCAUCCCACUACUCUUCAUGAUAAAUUCCUCCUGGCCCCGUGCGGCCCACGACAAGGCGGUUACAAACAAUUGCUAUCAAUCCAUUGCUCCCUCUGCCUAUAAAAAGGGGACCCCAGAUACGUUAUUCUCU